UCCAGCAGUAGUCAGCUGUCCGGACAGAUCCAUUCCUGUGACGGUGUUACACUGCUGGGAGAGCAAUGUCUUGCCUUCUUCAUCUAGUUGCUUCCCUCACCGUUCUGGUGGCAGGUGGCACUGGUGCAGGGCAGAACUGUGCUUCCUUGAGAGUGUGCUAAGCAUUUCGUUUUUUGGCUGCUUAGUUCUAGUCUGGGAGCAGACACA
ensembl:snoRNA SNORA74 Small nucleolar RNA SNORA74